UACGGAGGGGGCGAGCGUUGUUCGGAUUUACUGGGCGUAAAGGGUUCGUAGGCGGUUUUGUAAGUUAGAUGUGAAAGCCCGGGGCUCAACCCCGGAACUGCAUUUAAAACUGCAAGACUAGAAUCACGGAGAGGAUAGCGGAAUUUCCAGUGUAGAGGUGAAAUUCGUAGAUAUUGGAAGGAACACCAGAGGCGAAGGCGGCUAUCUGGACGUGUAUUGACGCUGAGGAACGAAAGCGUGGGGAGCAAAC
rnacentral:rRNA from 1 species